ensembl:lncRNA novel transcript
AUUGUCUUUGCUGAUCUCUUUAUUAUGAUGAAAAUUCUCUGGAUGGAAGGGUCAUCAGCUGCCGUCUCCUUUGCUACUCUGCUAGAUAUCCUUACAAUUUGGUUUAGAAUUUUAGUACCACUAACAUUUUUUGGUGCAUAUUUUGGAAAUAAAGAAAAGAUUAGUUGUCCAGUUCAGACAAACCAGAUCCCCUGUCAGAUUCCUCCAUAGAACUUCUUUACAAAACCACUUCUUGGCAUCAUAAUUGGUGGCAUUUUCCCCUUCGGCUGUAUUUUUAUUCAACUCUUUUUCAUUCUGAACAGUAUUUGGAAAAGCCUUAGUUGCAUAAGUGGAAUUCCUUUUCACAUUUGAGAAACAGAGGAGAGACAGUUGGAUUUUUUUCCUGUUUCUGGUUAAUUGCUAAAAUCUACAGUGUGCUGAAGGUGGAGUAAAGUAUUUCCCCAAAGGAUUCCAAGCACAUCUCCCUUGCCCUUGAAUAUCUGUAUAUCUAUAUGAACAUCAAUUGAGAUAUAUAUGUGUGUGCCCCUAAUUACAUAAUUUUAAGCAUAUAUAUAAAAAUGUAAAAUCUCAUUGUCUGGCCUC